UAGGAGUCCGGACGGAGUCUCCCUGCAGCCGGAGUCGGGGAUGAGAUCCGGCUCCCGUAGGAGUCCGGGCGAAGUCUGCCUGCAAUUGAAGUUGGGGGCGAAGUCCGGCUCCCGUAGGAGUCCGGACGUCGUGAAGAAUCCAGUUGACGCUGGCGGGGGCUUGUCCGUCGGCAAAACUUGGGAGCGUUGCGGAGGCUCGGCCGCCAGAGGGGCUCGGAGAGAUGUCGUCGGAGGUCGGAAGUCGGUAGGAUCUCCGGAGGGUCACUCCUGUCACAAACUUCGGCUGGAGGGUAUUUUAUACCCAACAAUGGCCUUGUGGAUGCUGUGCUUAGAGGAGAGAUAAAUCC
rnacentral:lncRNA from 1 species